ACAUGACAUCGACGUUUCGAACGCACAUUGCGGUCCAUGGAUUCCGUUCCCGGGCCACGUCUGGCUGAGGGUCGGCUACGUUUACUGAAGCGCGCAGGCGUUUUGCCUCCGCCGCUUCGGAGACCUGGGAGCGUCGUGGCGGGGCGUGAGCCUCGCCGCGUCUCCUGAAAUGCGCGAUGCGCGCCGCGCCCGUCGCCUGGUCGGUUCGCAUACCGGUACUGUGUCUCGGUAGCGUGCACAGCCGACUGGGCGUACGUGGUGUGCUCUCACACAACGACCUCAGAGCAGGCGAGACUACCCGCUGAAUUUAAGCAUAUCAAUAAGCGGAGGAA
rnacentral:rRNA from 1 species